CCUGACUCCAGAGGCUUUGCAGGAAUGGCUUCUGUGUCACACUUUAAUCAAAGGUGGCAGAAAGGUAAGAGGCUGUGUCGUAGCUUAGUGUUCUGACUGAUUAAAAACAUCUGAGUGAUUAGUCGCUUUACAAG